rnacentral:rRNA from 1 species
GACGAACGCUGGCGGCGUGCUUAACACAUGCAAGUCGAACGGAAAGGCCCUGCUUUUGUGGGGUGCUCGAGUGGCGAAAGGGUGAGUAACACGUGAGUAACCUGCCCUUGACUUUGGGAUAACUUCAGGAAACUGGGGCUAAUAUCGGAUAGGAGCUCCUGCUGCAUGGUGGGGGUUGGAAAGUUUCGGCGGUUGGGGAUGGACUCGCGGCUUAUCCGCUUGUCGGUGGGGUAGUGGCUUACCAAGGCUUUGACGGGUAGCCGGCCUGAGAGGGUGACCGGCCACAUUGGGACUGAGAUACGGCCCAGACUCCUACGGGAGGCAGCAGUGGGGAAUAUUGCACAAUGGGCGGAAGCCUGAUGCAGCAACGCGGCGUGCGGGAUGACGGCCUUCGGGUUGUAAACCGCUUUCGCCUGUGACGAAGCGUGAGUGAGGGUAAUGGGUAAAGAAGCACCGGCUAACUACGUG